CCUUCCUUUCCGCAACAAGGAACAAAGCAACAAAAAUAGCAACUGUGGAAGUGUGUCUGCUUGAACAAAUGGUCAUAAAUGACCAGAUGAUACAAUAAAAUUAUGAUGAAAAAAUCAUGCUGUGUGGAGCCGGGAGGAACGGUGGCUGUCACAAAUAAACUGGCGGGUGUGUGAUGGGCCAAGGAUCGCAAAGGGAAAAAGAGAACGAGAACUGAGCAGAACAGAGGUUUCCAAAGUUCUUGGACCGAGUCAUUUGCUUUCAUUACCAAAGGUGAAGUAUUGCCUCCGUGUCUGCUUCGCAAUGAGAAGUUGUCUAAAAGCAAAGAGAGUAAUGAGGUUCAGACAAUUCAUUCAUUCAUCUUCCGUUCUGCUUAUCCUCACAAGGGUCAUGGGAGUGCCGGAGCCUAUCCCAGCUAACUUCAGGCAGGAGACAAGGUACGCCCUGAACUGGUUGCCAGUCAAUCCCGGGGCACUUAGAGACAGACAUAUAAUAUUCAUUCAUUUUCCGAGGCACUUAUCCUCACAACCAUUCACACUCACAAUCACAGCUCGGGGCAAUAUACAGUCUCCAAUGAAUGGAUGUUUUGGGGAUGUGUGAGGAAACCAGAGUACCUAGAGAAAAUCCAUGCAGGCACGGGGACAAAAUGCAAACUCCACAUAGGCGAGGCCGGGAUUUGAGCCCCUGUCCUCAGAACUGUGAGGCCAAUGCUCUAACCAGUUGCUCCACCAUGCUGCCCCAGACUGAUUUUUUUUUGUGUGUUUUUGGGUCUUUAAGUAUUUUGGGUUGCCGACCCCUGAUCUACGUUCACAUCUCCAAGUUUGAGGCAGCCAACAAGCUAAACAGUUGGUUGCACUUUUGCACUGAUUAUUUUUCGUGAGUAUUUUGGGCACAUUACAGAAACACAGACGGAGCAGAUAUUUACAUAAGGCACACCUUCAUUGAUUAUUGCACAUUGUGAGUUACUCCAGGGUAGACAACUGGAGUUGUUGCAUUGGUAUGUUUCACAUAUUACAGAGAGUGAAUGUUUAGGACUCUAACAGGAGUUGGAAAGAAGCUGUUUUUCAGUCCAUUUGUCCUGGUUUCAAUGGUCCUGUACUGUCAGGCCCGAAGGCAGUAACAUGAAAAGGCAGUGGCUCAGGUGGUAGGAAUCCCUCAGGAUAGGGCUGGCUCUCCUGUAAGAACUGUGAAGGUCCUCCAAUGUGGGCAGAGGACUCCCAAUGACCUUCUCAGCCAUUUUGGUGACCCCCUGGAUUUCCUUCCUGUUUGCAAACCACCUGCACAGGUACUAGUCACCUGUGCAGUGUUCUGAUUUCAAGACAGCUUGGACUCCCAGGAAGAAGAAGGCACUGACCCUUUCCACACAGCUUCCACCGAUGAAAAUGAGCUGGAUGUCCGUUUUGUUUUUUUCCUGAA